UACGUAGGGUGCAAGCGUUGUCCGGAAUUAUUGGGCGUAAAGAGCUCGUAGGCGGUUUGUCGCGUCGGGAGUGAAAACACGGGGCUUAACCCCGUGCCUGCUUCCGAUACGGGCAGACUAGAGGUAUGCAGGGGAGAACGGAAUUCCUGGUGUAGCGGUGAAAUGCGCAGAUAUCAGGAGGAACACCGGUGGCGAAGGCGGUUCUCUGGGCAUUACCUGACGCUGAGGAGCGAAAGUGUGGGGAGCGAACAGG
rnacentral:rRNA from 1 species